rnacentral:pre_miRNA from 1 species
AGUUUUGCAUAGCUGCACUACAAGAAUAGACGAGUUGUGCAAAUCUAUGCAAAACUGA